rnacentral:rRNA from 1 species
UGGGGAAUUUUGGACAAUGGGCGCAAGCCUGAUCCAGCCAUGCCGCGUGAGUGAAGAAGGCCUUCGGGUUGUAAAGCUCUUUCGGACGGGAAGAAAUGGCGGGCUAUAACAUAGCCUGUCGAUGCCGGUACCGUAAGAAGAAGCACCGGCUAACUACGUGCCAGCAGCCGCGGUAAUACGUAGGGUGCGAGCGUGAAUCGGAAUUACUGGGCGUAAAGCGUGCGCAGGCGGAUUUGUAAGACAGAUGCGAAAUCCCCGGGCUUAACCUGGGAACUGCGUUUGUGACUGCAAGGCUGGAGUACGGCAGAGGGGGGUGGAAUUCCACGUGUAGCAGUGAAAUGCGUAGAGAUGUGGAGGAACACCGAUGGCGAAGGCAGCCCCCUGAGCCUGUACUGACGCUCAUGCACGAAAGCGUGGGGAGCAAACA